GGAAGAAAAAAAUAAUAUAUAUAACAGAACUUUCAUUUCGUCUAGUUUCCCAAAUAAUAAAAUUAUUUUAUUAUGGAUUGUGCCAUUGUUUGUCAGUUUAGAUAGAUGAUUUGGUAUUCUCAAAAUUUAGAGGUGUAUCCAUAGAAAAAAGAAAAAGGAAAAAAAGGGGGAUACUUACGUUACUAGGCAAGGAGAAAAAGGGGGAAAUGAUGUUCUAGAAACUCUUUUUAUGGGUGCUCUCCUCUCCAGCCGAGAGUGAGAGGCCUUUUUAGUUCUUUUGGCUACCAAAGUUCUCAAAGAAGAAGAAGUUAAUAUCCAGUUAUUUUGCUGGACAAGUGAGGUUUUUUUCUCUGUCUUUAUUAGAGUGUGUGAUGACUUUCCUUACUUAUGGAUAAGGACGAGAAGGACAAGGUGACUGCUGAACAAGUCGACAAACACCAUGGGAGUUGAAUAUCAAGAAAUUGUGUUGAGGCCAGAUCCAUCAUUUUUCUUGCAAACAAAGAAA